ACUGAGGUGGGGUAGCGGUAACCUGUACGCUUCCCAAGCAUGUGCGCCGGGUUCAAUUCCUGGUCUUAGUA
rfam:Sphaerobolus stellatus SS14 unplaced genomic scaffold SPHSTscaffold_9, whole genome shotgun sequence.